GCGAGCUUCACGGAUCAACAACAACCUCAACAAAACUUCAUCAAAAAAUACAAAUGAAUACACGAUUUUGCUCGAAAUGUCACAUAGAUCAUGAAUAUAAACUUAGAUUUUUCAAUAGAUGUUUAUAUCUCAGAAACAAGUUCGAAACUUUAAAAACCCAAAAACUUUAAAAUUCACAUUUGUACGAAUUAAACAAAAUCAAGAGUUGGAAAAGCUUCAGUGGGUGUUCAUGAGUAAAAAACGUUUAGAAACCUACUUGUUUUGAGCUUUGCUUAGGUGGAUUAACACCUACUCUUUUCUUUGCUAUUUUGAACCUUGGGUAAGCUUCUCUCAACGGUUUUCCUUCGUUUUUUCUUGUGUGUUUCGCUACUGGUAUGUGUUAGAAGGGAUUGGUGAAAGAAAAUUGAAGUUUGAGGGUGGUUUGAAUGAAUUUCGAAAAAUGGAAGAAAGUGAUGAAAAUGUGAGAUUUUUUUAUCGUUUCUUUUCUUCCUCUCCUCUUCCCCCC
rnacentral:lncRNA from 1 species